GUAAGGAAUCUUCCACAAUGGACGAAAGUCUGAUGGAGCAACUCCGCGUGCAGGAUGAAGGCCUUCGGGUUGUAAACUGCUUUUAUGAGUGAAGAAUAUGACGGUAACUCAUGAAUAAGGGUCGGCUAACUACGUGCCAGCAGCCGCGGUCAUACGUAGGACCCAAGCGUUAUCCGGAGUGACUGGGCGUAAAGAGUUGCGUAGGUGGUUCGUAAAGUGAAUAGUGAAAUCUGGAGGCUCAACCUUACAGGCUAUUAUUCAAACUCACGAACUCGAGAAUAGCAGAGGUAACUGGAAUUUCUUGUGUAGGAGUGAAAUCCGUAGAUAUAAGAAGGAACACCAAUGGCGUAGGCAGGUUACUGGGCUAUUUCUGACACUAAGGCACGAAAGCGUGGGGAGCGAACCGGAUUAGAAACCCUAGUAGUCC
rnacentral:rRNA from 1 species